AUGCGACAAGGGCAAAACUGUUUAAAAGCAGUGACGCAAAGCCACAGGGUCUAAGGGGCUACUUGCAGUAGUACUAUGACAGCCUGGCUACCGAA
rnacentral:ncRNA from 1 species